rnacentral:rRNA from 1 species
GAUCAUGGCUCAGGAUGAACGCUAGCGGCAGGCUUAACACAUGCAAGUCGAGGGGCAGCGCGGAGUAGCAAUACUCUGGCGGCGACCGGCGGAAGGGUGCGUAACACGUGAGCGACUUGCCCGUCACAGGGAGAUAACCGCUGGAAACGGCGACUAAUAUCCCAUAUGAUGGCGAUCUGCAUGGAUUGUCAUUGAAAGAUUCAUCGGUGACGGAUAAG